GUCUCAGCGAUUGCAACACGGGUCUCCGCCUCAGUAAAACUGUUGUUACCUAAAACUGCAACGCUGGAAGGGACUAUAGAUAGAGUGAGGAAGGGUAGUUGACAGUACUAGUCCCUUCCAGUGGCCCCUGAUCUAGACCCCAAAGCUGAUAGGCCUGGGAAUGAGUCUUCAUCGGUUUUCUAAUGGGAUCUGAAACGCAUGUAUUUUCAACCCAGUCAGAAAGACUUGGAGAGGCAUUUAGCAAUCUUCUCACUGUAAACGAAGUCCAGUCGCUUCCGACUUUGUCUCCCCAUACAGGUGGGAGGCUUCAAAGACAACGUGCAGUCCCUGGCGAUCCUUGCCUUCCCCCACCACUGGAAAUGAUCCGAGUUCACCCCUCCUGGUCUCUUAUGGAAUGUGGCCUCUUUCACACAGUCCUUGAAGAACAAACAUAGUGUUUGUGUGACAUCAUUGUUUUGGUUAAUUGGCUCACCAGAGCAAUAGAUCUCAGACUUUGGAACAUCCCACAGUUUGCCCAGGGCCUCAGAGCUUCAUCUGGCACAGGUAUCUUCUCCUGUAUGCAGCUUCCACACAUGGCUACUCCAGGCAACUCCCUGGAUGGGAUGCAUUUCCUGGCCCUCGGCUAUUGUACUCCUGUCCCCUGUCCCUAGCCCACAUUCCAAGCAGCUCUGCAAGACUCCCUAACUUCCCCUGCUCCCUGUACCCACCAAAUUCUGUUUAUCCUUCAAGAUAUCUGUCGAUACUGGACAUGGUAUAGCAAACCUGUAAAUUUGGAAGAUGGGGAUAAAAGAUCACACGUUCAAGGCCUGCCUCAGCUAUGUGGUGAGUGUGAAACUAGUCUAUGCUAUAUGAGAACCUGCCUACUUCAAUAACGAAGUCCCCUACAUCACAGCCACUGCCUCCCAGAGGACUAUGAACAUUGGGUAUUGAAACUGAAUCCUGUCCAUCGUUGUAUUACUCAGCACCCAGGGCACAAGUGCUUGUCUGAGUCCUCAGGGAGUGUUUGUCAUCUGAUUGAACAGUUAGUCACAUGAAAGAAGGAAGACUUACUCUUGGUGCAUUCCUCAGUUCUAGAAUUUCUUUGGAAAAGCCAGUGAAGACAGGAACAGUAUUUCAAGGAGGAGGCAAGUGAGCAAGACCACAACUGGAGUGAAAUCCAGUAGAAUUUGUCAGGUUGUUGUUGUCUUUUGGUGCCAGCUCACAUGAUCUGACUUUAUCAGUCAUGCUGGGGUUCAGAGAGGUCCUGUAGGAGAAUGCAUGGAUACAGAGCCUGGGAACUGAUUAAUGGGGGAGGGGAGAGGGACAUCCAGCUAGCGGCUGGGUUCUUGAGGGAGUUUAUAUGAAAUCAUUAGUUUUUGUAAAAUUGCUUGUUUCUUAUGAUGUUUUCCUGCAGUUAUAGGGAAGGAAAUUGAGAAGAAUGGCUUAAAAUUUUUUUAAGUUUAAGUUACUUUGACUUGUUGCUCUUGAGCAAGAGCAGCCAAUCCCUUAUCCCUGCCUUUUUGUUUAUGUAUUUGAUUUUUUUAAGUAAUAAAUGGGCUUGCUCAA